AUGGCAACAUGAGGUCACCUAGGAUUCCAAGACAGUGCGUCACCCCUUAUAGAGCAACUUAUUUUCUUCCAUGAUCAUACUAUGGUAGUAUUAAUUUUAAUUACUACUUUUGUUGGUUAUAUAAUAGCCGCUAUAUUUCCUAAUGCUUUUGUUAAUCGUUUUCUCCUUGAAAACCAAACAAUCGAAGUAAUUUGAACAAUUCUUCCUGCUAUUAUUCUCAUUUUUAUUGCUCUUCCUUCACUUCGGUUACUUUAUCUUCUAGAUGAAGUUAAUAACCCUAGAAUCACUCUUAAAACAAUUGGACACCAAUGAUAUUGAAGGUAUGAAUACUCAGACUUUCUGCAAGUAGAGUUUGACUCCUAUAUAACUCCAUCUAACGAACUAGAUUUAUCUGGAUUUCGACUUUUAGACGUAGACAACCGAACUGUCUUACCUAUAAACACACAAGUUCGAAUGUUAGUCACUGCAGCUGAUGUUAUUCAUUCUUGAACUGUUCCAGCUCUGGGAGUAAAAGCAGAUGCAAUUCCGGGCCGUCUUAACCAAAUUAGAUUUAUGGUUAACCGACCAGGAUUGUUUUUUGGGCAAUGCUCAGAAAUUUGUGGAGCAAACCAUAGAUUUAUACCAAUUGUAGUAGAAAGUGUGUCAGUCUCAGCUUUUUUAAAUUGAAUCUCCUCCUCAUCCGAUCUAU
rnacentral:misc_RNA from 1 species